rnacentral:rRNA from 1 species
GUUUAAUUGUUAAAAUCUUAGAUGAAACCUGCCCAGUGAUAUUUUAUUUAAAUUGAAAAUAUUUAGUAUAAUAUUAAACGGACGCUGUAAUCCUAAACGGUGAUAAUGUAGCAUAAUCGGAUGCCGUUUAAUUGGCGGAGAGUUGAAAGGUUUAACGAAUAUUUCAUUGUCUUAAUUUGAAAUCUUAUAAAAUUGAAAUAAUAGUUAAGAUGCUAUUUUUAAUUGUAAGACGAGAAGACCCUAUAGAGCUUUACUAUAAUUUUCUUGAAAAUAAAAGAAUAAAAUUAUUCUUUAAAAAAGAAAAGGGUUAGUUUAGGUGGGGGGCCUGCUUAUUAUUAGAAACAUAAGAUAGUAAUAUUAAUUAAAAAUUUAUUGUUUAAAUUAUAAUUUUAACAAUUAUUAAAAUAGACUAAAAGACCCGUUUAUAAAAUAAAAUAUUUUAAACGAUUAAUAAAUAAAAGCUACCUUAGGGAUAACAGAGUAAUUUUGAUUAAGAGAUCAUAUUUAAAUCAAAGUUUGCUA